UGGGCUUUUUGAUUGUUAUCCGAAAGGACCCAUAUUUUUAAGGGUUUGUUCAAUUUUAACAGGUGGAGCUGGAGAGUCGACGUUUUGGUUCUUCACAUCUCAACGCCGACGGCGGUCGAACGUCACUGGAAAUAUUAAUCCAAGCAUUAACGUUUUCUGAGCCAUUCCUCCCACUCACUCAAAAUAAAUCAACCAUAGCAUCCUCUAAAGUAAUAGUCCUAUCAAAACAAAAAUCGCAAAGGAUCCCAAAGGUCUUCCUUUGUCGAGCAUCAAAUCCGUCAAUGGCAAAUUCAUUUGUUCUUCUUGACGAAUCAUAGCAUCCUCUAAAGUAAGAAAGGCGGUCCCACAUGCUUCUCCUUGACGAGCAGCCAACUAAUCUACGAGAAGUCGAUUUUGAUUCCAUCGCUUAAUACUUUCAAAAAUCUCCUUGAGGGAAGGAGGGAUGUACGAGCUUCAUGGUAUUGAUGUCACUGGAUGACAACACGAGCUUUGUCGAGGUCAUAGAACCAGUGACCAUCCCAGCAGAGAAGUUCCGUUUUAAAAAAUAACCAGCAGAUGCUCCUGACAUCAUGGGUGAAGUUAGUAGUAUCAAUACUGUUUUCGAUGAUAAAAACCAGUCCAUUCAGUGUGUGAUGAUAACAAUCGAAUUGGACAGACACAACUAUGCAGAGCGCACGGUGUGUGUUUAAUAAAGUUGUUACUGGCCUAGAUGAGAAGUUAACUCUCUUGGGUGUCGAAUCAGAAGCUAUGGUUGCCACAAACAUAAAUCCAAAACUAGCUGGAUAUAAUCUGCUUUAUUUAUAUUUGGUCUUCAAACUUGACAACACCACAACAGUUUACAUGCUUGCCCAAUCUCUAUUUCAGGUUGGUUAUUCUUUAAUGCAACCUUUGAAACCCAUUACUAUGUAGACCGUGAAGUCUUAGCCAGCCAAUUUUUUCUAAAAGAGUUAUGUGGAGCGAAGAGAGACUAUUUAUCAACUCCUUCCAAGUAUGGUGGGGUUAAGAAAAUUGAGACUGUUACAUUGGCUGAGCUGAAUACGUAUGUUCUCAAUUCACGACCAACAGCCGUUUUUCCCAUAGGCGACAGAAUUUCUAUGCAAGGAGGAAUUCACUGACAUUUAGACCUUAAAAGGAUUGUGUUACAUUUCAUGAUCCAAGUUCCACGUAAAUUGCUACGUGCGUUCACAACUUUCAGCUGCACAGGGUGCAACGAUGAGAAUGCAGUUGGUAUUAUAAGGUAAUAGACGACCUACAUGUAGUUAUCGUAUAUGCAAGAUGGCGGUAACAGACUUGACAGAAGCAGCUGUAUUAAUAGCAUUCUAUGGGUCAAUUACCAAGCUUACCAAUGUUCGUGCUACUGAGCUCGUGCAGCUAAUGGACGCAGGUCUUGAAGUUAAACAGCAGACCGACCUCCCACAAUGCCUGAAAGAUAUUGUUGGCUAGACCUUAACUUUCCAAAUGAAACUCUCUCGGUUCAAUUUCACCACCAAGCAUUAGUCAUUCAUGGUCUCCAGUAUUUGCGAAAGCCACCAGCUUCUACCAGUAGCUAAUUUUGCAAUCAAUGCUGGUGCUGAGUCUGCUGACCACCCAGGGGAUGACAAGCAUGUUGCUGUAAAGCUCUCAGUGGAGUAAUCCUGUUGUCAAAACCGAUGCUGCAGAAGAGAUAAUUAGGAGUGACAGUGCUCCUAAUAUCACCGGGGUUAAUGGAGGCUCGGAACCAGUUACUUCCCAAACUGAGUCAGUUGAUAGCUCGAGAGAGGAACCUAUAGGCGAUGAGUAGGAUCCGAGUUCUAAGAAGCCAUGCACUGACUAAGUUGUGAAAGUCUAGAUAUUAUAAGCCGUCAAAAUACUAUGAGUUUGAUGUUAUGUUACUGACGGGUUUAGCGUUUAAUAUUGUUGCCCUCCUUCAACAACUUCAACCAGUCAUGUUUUUCCAUGUUUUCAUUUUCACGAGUAUAUUAUGGCUUCGGUUCAACCCUUC